GCCACUGAAGCCAUCUCCCAGAUAGUGAACCCCUUGCUGACUCUGCUGUACACAUGUUGGAAGAGGGUGAACCAAAUGAAAAAGGCUGCCUAAUUCCCCAAGCUAUUAUAUCACAACAUCUGAAUUUAUGCAUAUGUUCAAAAUGGCUUCACAAGCUUGCGGAGAAGGACAUUAAUGCCAGUGGGAGGUAUGAUUCACUACUUUAAUAUGUUCUCUUUAUGGAUUUUAAGACAAAGAAAACAUAUAUGAUUUUCAAUAAGCAACUGGGUAAAUAACACUUGAAAUAAAAUGGUUAAUCUUUUCCCUAUUCUCUGUGAUUCUGAUCAACUCAUUGCUGGAAACUAUGUGCACCCUGAGAAAAGUUAAAAAAGAAAAAUAAAGAAUCUGAGAGAUGAGCAGAAAU
rnacentral:lncRNA from 1 species